CAAUAGCGUAUAUUAAAGUUGUUGCGGUUAAAAAGCUCGUAGUUGGAUUUCUGCUGAGAACGACCGGUCCGCCCUUUGGGUGUGUAUCUGGCUCUUUCUUGGCAUCUUCUUGGUGAACGUUGCUGCACUUGACUGUGUGGAGCGCUACCCAGGACUUUUACUUUGAGGAAAUUAGAGUGUUUCAAGCAGGCAUACGCCUUGAAUACAUUAGCAUGGAAUAAUAAGAUAGGACCUCGGUUCUAUUUUGUUGGUUUCUAGAGCUGAGGUAAUGAUUAAUAGGGAUAGUUGGGGGCAUUCGUAUUUAACUGUCAGAGGUGAAAUUCUUGGGUUUGUUAAAGACGGACUACUGCGAAAGCAUUUGCCAAGGAUGUUUUCAUUGA
rnacentral:rRNA from 1 species